rnacentral:lncRNA from 1 species
GAAAUGGAAUGCUGGUAAUUUAUAGGAAGUGACCUCACAAUGACCCAAGCUCCUGUUUGUUGAUUGUGAUGAAAUGCAUGCUGAGGCACAUGCCUUGGGAGCUAAGUGGCAGCUAUACUUCACUACUAUGGCAGUAAAGAUGACUAUAAAGACUGGCGGGGGAUGGAUCCUUUCAAAUGUACCUGAGCUGGGAUGCCCAGCUUGUGGAACGCACAGCAGGAGGUGAGCAGUGGCCAAAGGAACAUCUGAAGGAACACCUGAUGAGGCUGCACCCUUGGCGGAAAGAACACCUGACAUGGCUGAAAGCUUGGUGGAAAAACCACCUGAUGAGGCUGCACCCUUGGUGGAGGGAACAGCUGACAAAAUUCAAUGUUUGGGGAAAGCAACAUCUGGAAAGUUUGAACAGUCAGCAGAAGAAACACCUAAGAAAAUUAUGAGGACUGCAAAAGAAACAUCUAAGAAAUUUGCAUGGCCAGCAAAAGAAAGACCUAGGAAGAUCACAUGGGAGGAAAAAUAAACAUCUGUAAAGACUGAAUGCGUGGCAGGAGUAAUACCUAAUAAAACUGAAGUUUUGGAAAAAGGAACAUCUAAGAUGCUCACGUGUCCUACAAAAGAAACAUCUACAAAAGCAAGUACAAAUGUGGAUGUGAGUUCUGUAGAGUCUAUAUUCAGAAGGAAGCAACAAAGACAGCAACUGAACAACAAGAAAAUGAUAUUGGAAUUAUUGAAUGAGCGCCAUAAGAUCUAACAAAUAAGAUGCCCACAUCAGAGUCAGGACAAAAAGAAGAUACGAAAUCACCUUCAGUUUCUGAGGUCACAGCUAUGGAUGUGGAAGAGAUAGGAAAGGCCUCACCACUUAAGAUAGAAGCAGCAGCUGCAUAGUGGUAACAGCAAUGAGUGGAUGUCAAAAGACAGAUUCAACUAGCCUAUCAAUAUUCUUGGGUGCAGUUCCUUCUCAUGAAAGAGCAAGGGAACUUAAAAAAUAUCACUGUGAACAACUUACAGCAAAAAUAAAACAAAUGAAAAAUAAGUUUUGGGUACUACAAAAGGAACUAUCAGAAGCAAAAAUAAAAUUGCAGUAAGUGAAUCAAAAGGUUAAAUGGGAACAAGAGCUCUGCAGUGUGAGCUUGGAAUGAAGUUGAUAAUAGUGAGACCUUGUUGGUACAAGACUAUGUAACACAACCUGCACUUCUCAACAAAAAAUUGCUUUUCUGACUUCUGCACUCAAUAGCAAGACAAAUCUCUCCUCUGCCUCCUCAUCAGACUACUCAAUGUGAAGGCAAUAAGAAUGAAAACCUUUAUGUAUAAUAAUUCACUUCCACUUAAUAAAUAGUGAAUAUAUUUUUUCCUCCU